CUCACCCUGAAGCACAGCAGAUCUUCCUGCUCGAGAGCAAGUUGCCAAUUUUAGAACGAACAUGGUGAUGAACACAUUUGUCUUUAAAACCCUGCUGAAACACAGCCAGAAAUUUCUGUAACGCUCUACCCUUGGUUAAUUUUGACAAGAUUGUAAGGCAAGUCUGUCUGGAUCCAUAACAUACUGGUUGGAAAAUUAAGUUUCCUACGUAGCCAACACAGAGAAAGUCAUGGAAUCUCUGAACUGCUAUCCUGACUACAGGGACUGCAAAACCUGCCAGGAAGUGUUGUGCGAUAGUGGCUUUACUCGUAACAGGUUGUUUGUUGUAAGUAUUAAUUACCGCUACCUUGGCUGGACGUCACGGUUAAGAGGUAAACGCACUAUUAAAUCGUCAGCGGUAGGAUACAAGCACAAAUAUGUUUUUAAUGUGAAGUGAACAAGCAGAUAUGUUGUUUCCUGCUAAAUUGGCACAGCUGCGUUCCAGGGGUAACUAAAUGAGCUCUUUACUUUGCAGUUCUCCAAAGGUGUAGGUUUGA